GAUGAACGCUGGCGGCGUGCCUAACACAUGCAAGUCGAACGGGUGUGGUAUCAGGGAAAAGGGGUUUACUUCUUUGACCAGAUAACACACUAGUGGCGGACGGGUGAGUAACGCGUGGAUAACCCUGCCUUAUACAGGGGGAUAACAGGGAGAAAUUCUUGCUAAUACCCCAUAGGUAUGUCUGACGCAUGUUGGACAUAUUAAAGCUUUGGCGGUAUAAGAUGGGUCCGCGUCUGAUUAGCUAGUUGGUGGGGUAAAGGCCCACCAAGGCGACGAUCAGUAGCCGGCUUGAGAGAGUGGACGGCCACAUUGGGACUGAGACACGGCCCAAACUCCUACGGGAGGCAGCAGUGGGGAAUAUUGCACAAUGGGGGGAAACCCUGAUGCAGCGACGCCGCGUGAAGGAAGAAGGUCUUUCGGAUCGUAAACUUUCUAUCAGCAGGGGAAGAAGGAAGUGACAGUACCUGAGUAAGAAGCCCCGGCUAACUACGUGCCAGCAGCCGCCGGUAAAGAGUAGUA
rnacentral:rRNA from 1 species